rnacentral:rRNA from 1 species
UACGUAGGGUGCAAGCGUUGUCCGGAAUUAUUGGGCGUAAAGAGCUCGUAGGUGGUUUGUUGCGUCGGCUGUGAAAUCCCGAGGCUCAACCUCGGGUCUGCAGUCGAUACGAGCAAACUAGAGUGUUGCAGGGGAGACUGGAAUUCCUGGUGUAGCGGUGAAAUGCGCAGAUAUCAGGAGGAACACCGGUGGCGAAGGCGGGUCUCUGGGCCGAUACUGACGCUGAGGAGCGAAAGCGUGGGGAGCGAACAGG